ACACUGCUGAGGAGUCCCACAAUAGGACAAAACGGCCGUCCAGUGC
rfam:Schistosoma haematobium scaffold200_22, whole genome shotgun sequence.